UACGUAGGGUGCAGGCGUUAAUCGGAAUUACUGGGCGUAAAGCGUGCGCAGGCGGUUUGCUAAGACAGGUGUGAAAUCCCCGGGCUUAACCUGGGAACUGCGCUUGUAACUGGCAAGCUUGAGUGUGGCAGAGGGGGGUGGAAUUCCACGUGUAGCAGUGAAAUGCGUAGAUAUUGGGAGGAACACCAGUGGCGAAGGCGGCUCGCUGGACCGGUUCUGACGCUGAGGCGCGAAAGCGUGGGGAGCAAACGGG
rnacentral:rRNA from 1 species